rnacentral:rRNA from 1 species
AUGCCGCGUGAGUGAAGAAGGCCUUUGGGUUGUAAAGCUCUUUUGUAGGGGAAGAUAAUGACUGUACCCUAAGAAUAAGGUCCGGCUAACUUCGUGCCAGCAGCCGCGGUAAUACGAAGGGACCUAGCGUAGUUCGGAAUUACCGGGCGUAAAGCGCGCGUAGGCCGUUGAGUUAGUUAAUUGUGAAAUCCCAAAGCUUAACUUUGGAACUGCAAUUAAAACUGCUCGACUAGAGUUUGAUAGAGGAAAGCGGAAUACAUAGUGUAGAGGUGAAAUUCGUAGAUAUUAUGUAGAACACCAGUUGCGAAGGCGGCUUUCUGGAUCAACACUGACGCUGAGGCGCGAAAGUAUGGGUAGCAAAGAGGAUUAGAUACCCUCGUAGUCCAUACCAUAAACGAUGAUUGCUAGAUGUUGGAAAUUUAUUUUCAGUAUCGCAGCUAACGCAUUAAGCAAUCCGCCUGGGGAGUACGACCGCAAGGUUAAAACUCAAAUGAAUUGACGGGGACCCGAACAAGCGGUGGAGCAUGUGGUUUAAUUCGAAGAUACGCGCAGAAACUUAACAAGCCUUGACAUGUCUGUCGCGAGUUAAGGAAACUAGAC